rnacentral:misc_RNA from 1 species
GAUGAAGAACGUAGCGAAAUGCGAUAAGUAGUGUGAAUUGCAGAAUUCAGUGAAUCAUCGAAUCUUUGAACGCACAUUGCGCCCCAUGGUAUUCCGUGGGGCAUGCCUGUUCGAGCGUCAUUUACCCCCUCAAGCUCCGCUUGGUGUUGGGCGUCUGUCCCGCUUCGCGCGCGGACUCGCCCCAAAGGUAUUGGCAGCGGUCGUGCCAGCUUCUCGCGCAGCACAUUGCGCUUCUCGAGGCACCGGUGGGCCCGCGUCCAUCAAGCUCACCACCCCAGUUUGACCUCGGAUCAGGUAGGGAUACCCGCUGAACUUAAGCAUAUCAAUAAGCGGAGGA